ACUUAGUUUGGUUUUUUUUAUCUUGGGUUUAUUUUUUUCCAAACAAAUCUUCUAGGCACAUUAGGCUCAGAUUACAUUUUAUUGCCAAAUCACCAGCUGGCAACAAAAUCGCAUAUGUCUGUGUAAAUACAGUGGAUGAGAAGCUGAACAGGAGAUGUGAGAUGAUUCAAGCAGUCAUAUUGGCUUCUACACCUUAAAGUUUGACUGUUUUAUCUGUCUAUUCAGCAAUGUCCUGUACAGACCCCAUUUCAGCAUGAAAUACUAAAAUCUCAGCUUGGGGUAAUUCUGUCUGUGGUUUUCCUCUCUUCUAGUGAAUUUACAGGAAAACAGAUAAUUCUCUGGGACUAUAACUCAAAAAUUCAUGUUUUGUUUCCUCACCAAGUGAUGACUAAUCCACUCCCUGUUACUCAAAUAUAGGUGUAACUCUGGUGAUGACAUUAUUAUGAAGCAUUUUUACUUGGAGGGCCGGAUGAUCCUUUGAAGGAAAAGAAAAGAGCCUGGGAGCAAGUGAGCUACUAAAGAAUUGGAGUGACUCUGGAUUAUGGAGUGGGCAGACACUUUUCUGCAACUGAAGAGAUCUAAUCCUUGCCCUUCAGUCAGAUUGCUACUGGAUAUGAGUCCUUGCCUUGGAGCACACUGGAGAAGCAGCCAGCAUGCAGCUCUGCUGUCUGGGGUGGUUCUUUGCUCUGUGAUUCACAAGUCAGUGACUAAUUCAGAUUAACUAUGGUCAUCUGAUGAUCAGACCCUCAGUUUUACAGCCAGGGUUAGGUCAGCUUUAAUCAGCCCUGCCUGGGGAGGGAGCUCUGGUAGAAGCUGGACUGUACAGAAAAUCCUGGGGUACAAUUUUUUGGUGAGCUGCAGGACAUUUCUGAAUUCUGUAUUUCUGUAUUCUGCUCUUCCAAUCGGUUGCCCAUGUAGGGAGGAGAGGUCCUUGCAGCUGUUCUUCCUCAAAGUGCCAUCAGGACUCUUCCAGGACAAAUUCCUCCUUCCUGGGCAUAGCUAGGUUUGCAGGUUUCCCUGUGAUUACACCAGGACAGGGGGAGAGGCAAGGUGGGAGCAGCUUUCCUGUGUAUGCUCAGAGCAGCAGGGCACUGUCUGUGACACCAACACAGAGCAGUUGUCUGUGAAAUUUCAUUAAAUUUGCAGGCAGCGAUUGUUAUUCCAGAGCAAGGAGAGGAGGUGGAAAGAGGCUGAGGUCCAGCUAGGAGUUGGCUAGCCUAGUUCUUGGAUUGUUUUCCAGGCUGUGGUUAUCCUUAUCUGCAUCUGGAAACUGGAGUGUGUUGUAUGUGUUUGUAAGAGCAAGCGGAUGUGUGAAGUGUUCUGGCAAAGUCAGAGACCUCAUUUUCCCCUCAGUAUAAUGCAGCCUGAUUAGAUUGUUAUUGACAUGCUGAGAACCUGCUAGGGUUGUUACAUCUCUGUGGAAAGGCAUCUGUCUGUUCCUUUUCUCCCUUCUGCCUGGAAGGAUUGCAGAGCUGGAAAUGGGAAGGACUUUUCAGAUGGCAAAUCCAGCUGUGAACGAAAUCUGCUGGGAAAGCACCGUGUGCCCGCCAGCUGACCAGCAGUUUGACAAUGUAUGUGGAGCUGCAAGCCAAUUAAUAUCAGUUUGGAACCAUUAGAAAUUCCCUAAUGGGCAAAAAAAGUUAAAAAAAAAAAAAAAGGUGAAAAGAAAUAACCCACAAUAAACCCCUCAAAACUGCUGUAUUUUUUUCUGGAUGUUUUUCAUCCUCUAGAUCGUUGCUAACCUGAGUUACUGGCAGUGUUUGGGUGAUCAGAUUUGUCUGAUCAUGUCAGAAAUGUGCAGUGCUUCAUUAGCUGCUACAGCUUUGACUGUUCAGGCUAAAGCAGAAAAGUGUGUGCAGAGCCCAGAGGAGGCUGUGGAUGUCCAGAGGAGGCUGUGGAUGUCCAGGGGAGGCUGUGGAUGUCCAGGGGAGGCUGUGGAUGUCCAAGGGAGGCUGUGGAUAUCCAGAAGAGGCUGUGGAUGUCCAGGGGAGGCUGUGGAUGUCCAGAAGAGGCUGUGGAUGUCCAGGGGAAGCUGUGGAUGUCCAGAAGAGGCUGUGGAUGUCCAGGGGAGGCUGUGGAUGUCCAAAAGAGGCUGUGGAUGUCCAGGGGAGGCUGUGGCUGUCCAGAAGAGGCUGUGGCUGUCCAGGGGAGGCUCUGCAGUCCUGUACCUGCCUGAGCUGCUCUCACUGCAGUGUGUGGUGGUGGGGAUCUCCAGCUGAUGGCUCUGGGCAGCUGAACGUGUCUCUGCUGCUCUCUCUACUCCAGCUGCUUCAUGCUGGAUUAGCUCAGGUAUUUCUACCUAGUGCUGCACAGUGGGUUCUAAACAAGAGCAAGAGAACAUGUGGACUAACUGGCUUUAAGAGCAUUCUCCUUCCCAAAAAUGGCUCCUGUGAUCUUUGUGCCGUGAGAUGGUCAGAUAAUGGCAAUUCUCACAUUCAGGAUUUGCCAUUGCAGGAUGAGGACACACAGUCUAAAUAUCGGUGAUGUUGCUCCCUUUGAUCACAGCUGACGCAACCUCAAAAAUCCUCAUCCUGAAAGCUCUCUGAAGACAGAUUUGUCUCCAAGAAUGAUUUUGGGUUCAGCAAAAUUGCAUGUUUCAGUGAAAUGAUAUUUCUUUUCACCAGCUUAUUUAUAUUCAUCAUAAUUGUCUCACUGUGAUGCCUCCUAUUCAUUUGCUGGAUCCACUUGUCUUGCAUCUUGUUCUGACUCUGAGUGUUUUUUAGGGUAAGCCUGCCUUUUGAGAAUAUGCAUGAUUGGUACCAUUGGAAUAGUUUUCAUGUGCUUGCAAGAAGUGCAUUGCUAAGCAAAGCAAGCAGAGGAGAUGGGAGAGAUGAGUGGAAAAUGACUACUGAAGAAAAGGGAAGAAUUAAAAUAGAUGGCAAGGAGUUAAUCAAAUAAACAAAGGUUCAUUAAAAAAAAAAUCCUCUUGCUCUUUUCUUUUCUUUCUUUGAAUAAUCUCAAUCUGAUAAUGAUUGCACUGGCCAGCCCUUGAUACCUUUCUGUCUGAUUACAGCUGGGUUGUAGUGGUAGUUACCACAACAAUCUAUUACUGGCUGUGUUAAUUAAUGCCCCUCAUUAAAUUAAAAAGGGCAGGGAUGGGAAUAUUUUCAGGCUGUUCCUCACUUAUAAUUAUUUAUUUUAAAAGAUUUUUUUUUUAAAUUUUA